CCUACGGGAGGCAGCAGUGAGGAAUAUUGGUCAAUGGACGAGAGUCUGAACCAGCCAAGUAGCGUGAAGGAUGACUGCCCUAUGGGUUGUAAACUUCUUUUAUAUGGGAAUAAAAUGUUCCACGUGUGGGAUUUUGUAUGUACCAUAUGAAUAAGGAUCGGCUAACUCCGUGCCAGCAGCCGCGGUAAUACGGAGGAUUCGAGCGUUAUCCGGAUUUAUUGGGUUUAAAGGGAGCGUAGGUGGAUUGUUAAGUCAGUUGUGAAAGUUUGCGGCUCAACCGUAAAAUUGCAGUUGAAACUGGCAGUCUUGAGUACAGUAGAGGUAGGCGGAAUUCGUGGUGUAGCGGUGAAAUGCUUAGAUAUCACGAAGAACUCCGAUUGCGAAGGCAGUUCACUGGACUGCAACUGACACUGAGGCUCGAAAGUGUGGGUAUCAAACAGGAUUAGAUACCCGAGUAGUC
rnacentral:rRNA from 1 species